CCUUUCGCAUGGGCUCUAAUUUAGUUCAAUUCAGAACUGCAGAUAGUACGGUUUCCACAGGAGCAGGGAUGCCUGAGCAGAAGUGGCUGAGUUUCGAGUGACUUUAGGAAAUGCUUCUCCCCUUUCCAGGGCAUGCAAACAGGACUCUGCACCUGCCCCCGGGGUCAGUCCAGACAGAAGCCUCUGCUUCGCCUGCAGGGACGAGGAACUAGAGCAAGCAGCAGCAUUUGAAAAUUGCUCUGGACACAAGGGCCGGCAAGUCCAUGAAGGAGACUGAAGGGCAGCUCCAUCUGCAUGUUCAGUGGCAGUCGGACAGGAACCGCAGCAAUGAACACGUCUCUGAGGAACUUAAAAAGCAUGAUUCGGCUUUGGAGCUACAUCAGAGAUGGAAAGACUGGGAUGACAGGAAGAUAGGGAAGCCUGGCUCAGUCACGAACAUCUGGCAACUGACUGCAUCCAUGGAGGACCUAGAUGAGGCCAGCUGAAGAAGGAAGACUCAAUGUGGGCAGCUCCCAUCCAUGAGGCGAAGGCCAAAGAGAAUCAAAAGGAGACAGGCAGCUGAUCAUCAGCAAUCACCUCCCUCUGCUUCCUGGAUGGGGCUUUAAUGUGAGCGGCUGCCUCAAGCUCUUGCCACUGUGCCUUCACCAUAGUGAUGCUGUGUAUCAAGGUGUGAGUCAAAAUGACAAAUGGAACAACUAGACCUAUAAGAUAUGAUAAACAUACUAAAAUCUGUACACCUGAAGAAGCUAAACAAGAAGGAGGACCAGGGGCUUGGUAAGAACAAGCACUGUUGGUCGCUGUCAGCAGUAGAGACUCUUUUGAGAGGUCCUGGCUCUGCUGUCUCCCAUGUGAGGUCUUGUUCAUCACACUGCUCUACAACUGCACACUCCUGUUUCCUUCCUGGAGACAGAAGGGCUUGAGGGCUCCCUCAGUUUCCUCAAGGAUGAACAAAGAUUUCCUCAAGCAGCAUGUCCAGGCUUCAGCUCGCCCCUUCACUCAGAAGACUCUCCCUGGUCUGAGAGGAGCAGCUGUAUUUGAGCUUGUAAUAUAAGAGCUUCCUAUGUGGUUUCAAUGAAAAUGAACUACUGGGUUAUCCUGGAGCCAAAGCAAUUACAGGAAAGUAGGUAUUGAUGACAGAUAAACAAACAAUCUACUGGGACCCAACCAUUAUUCUGAGUUGGUGGAGAUCAGAAACCCCCAAAGAACUGUGCAAGAAAGGAAUGAAGCCAAGUUGAGCUCAUCAACUCACAUCAGUCAUAGAUAAAAGGUUGGAUCUAUGGUGGCUGUUAUUACUAUCCAAUAUUCAUUAUAAUUCUAUGUUAUUUUAUACUUUAGUUUUUACUAGACAAUCAUAAUCUACCAGUUUAAAACUGAAUGUCCCAACUUCAAGUAUUGGAUACCUUUUUUUGCCCACUCAGCAAUUUUGUCUAGAUUUCUUAAGGGUUUCUAAAACUCAGUCUCAUUGUAAAUGUGAAUGCUAAUACCUUCAGAAAAACCACUGGAGACACAGUUUGAGCUGUUACCCAGUAGAGUCAUGUCCAAACCUUCCUUUUUUUUUUUUUUGGUCUUUUUAGAGCUUAGGUGUCCAAGGCUACCAGUGAAAUAUCACUUGAGGCCUUGCUGUUCUAAGAGAGCAAGGAUUGGAUGAACGUGGAAGAUGUCAUUGCUGAGAGGAACCUCAGCAUAACCAGAACAAACUAGGCACAUCAAAGGACUCAUUAAUUACAAAUAGUUCCUUGAGACACAGAUAACUAAUGAAUAAAUAAUUUUUAUAAAAUGGUUUUAUGCAUUGGAACUUCUCUGGUUAUCAGAUAUGAAAACACAUAAUUGUGUAAUAUAAAGGUGAUAUAAUAAUUAAUAUUGAUGGUUAAACAUAUUGAUUUUGUGUGCAGAAACAAUUUAAAACUUUUAGCUGACUUAAUAAUUAAAAAAUAAACUUACCAUGAACACUGAUCUUACAAUAAUGGUUGAGAGAUGACUUAAAAGCCAAGACCAUGCUUGCUAUCAUCACCCUAGCUAAAACUAACUGCUGUCAUAUUUAUAGGCAGAGAUUCCCUGGAAGUAUGUGCCCUGAUGAACUAUCUGUCACUCACAGACAUAUAAGCACCACCAUACAGGCACUGAUAAGGUCAUCAGGCUCCUAAAGUAAACAAUACUUUAUACUUAAGUGGACAUGUUUCCAGAGAGUCCUUGUGAAAACAUAAAUUUCAUGCAAAAACUUAGGAUCAAGGGUUGGAAUGAUAGCCGUGACAAAAUCCAAAAGAUAUGAUGUUGGCUUUGAAAAUGUGUGACAAGAAGAUGCUGAACACAUAGUCAGCUAACGGCUAGCAAGGCUGAGGAAAAAUGAUGAGUCAGUAAGUAUAAGACUAGAGAAAAUCGAGAUGGGGUAUGUAAUUGAAGAAAAAUCUGUUAACUAAAUCUGACUUCCAAUAAAAUAUUGAACGUACCAGCUAGUUGCUGCUGGCUCAGUAUAACAAAA